UACAACCUGCUGGACUACCACUAAAGCUCAUGCCAUUAGCUUCACAGAGCAAGACAUGGCAGUGCCUAGGUAAGUGAUUCAGAUAUAUUCAGUGUAUCCUUUCAAUGAAUAUCUAAGACUACAGACACUAUCACAUGUAGUCACAGAUACAGUACAUUCCCUGACUAACGCCUAUCAACCACCAUGAAAUUUCUGCUGACACUUCUUUCUGGAGUUCCUUCUAUUAUUAACUUGUAUCUACUAUUACUAGAAGUACUGGCAACUCAUAGUGUUUACUGAGCCUGGCAAAUGCUGUAUUUCAUUUUCAGUUCUCAAGGCUAAUUAUUAAAUAUUAUUGUGGUUGAUAUCUAUAAAUGAUGGCAGUAACAUUAAUAGUUCAUAUGUAACAUGUAUUUUUAAAUAAAAACAGAAUAUUACUAUAAGAAGAGGAUGACAAUAUAAAGUUGCUUAUUUAUGGAUAGUAGCUAUGAUCUGUAGGAGACUAUCAUCCUUUUUAUGUUUUAAAAUGUUUUUAUUAAUGUAUUAUAGUUAUAUAAAAUAGUGGGGUUCAUUUUGACAAAUUCCUGAAUGCAUAUAACAUUGUUUGCUUGAAUUCAAUUCACAGUAUUUCCCCUUCUUCCUCCACCUGUUCCCCUUUCUCUACUCAACUGAUUUUCCUUCUAUUUAUUUAUUGUUUUCCCUUUGGUGCAUUAUAGUUAUACAUAAAGUGAAAUUCAUUGAUUAAUUUAUACAUGCACAUAGCAUAAUUUGGUCUCUAUCAUUCUUAAGAGGCAUAUUUUCCCUAGUUAAAGGCAAGCAGAGAGGUAUCCAAAUGGUUUUUCUGUGUUCUGGAGACUGAAGCCAGCUUCAGUAACCAGAAUCCCGGAAGACCUGUCUUUUGUCUUCACCUUAAGAUCUACUUUUUUCUUCUAUUAUAGUCUUUGAGUACUUUAUUGACUCUUUGCCUUUGGCUUCACUAAAGCAAUGAAAUCUUGCACCUGGAUUAGCACAAGAAAUAUACCUGCAGUUUAUCCUCCAUAUUUUUUGCCAGGGUAAAAAGCAUUCUUGCCUGUCAGGGGAAUAUAAGCAAUAUGUUCCUGUGUGAAUACUUAUUACUUGCUUGUCAGAAAAAGGUUACAGAAAUUUCCCUUUGGGGAGAAUGCCAUGAAGACUUUUUUUUCCUCCCGCCUAGUAAAUUACUUGCAGAUGUGUCUCUCUGGGUACUGCUCUUGCAAUUCCCUUUGGGAGUUCAUCUGGCAAAAAUGUACAGUGGAGGCACAUUCCCAUAGCGGUAAUAUAUGGCAAGUAUCUCCCCACCGCCAAAUGAAUAUAGAAUACUUCCUUAUUGUGUAAAAGUAUGUACUUGAAGCAAUGUGAAGAAUUGGGAUUUUAUUUGGACCAUCUUGGUCUUUCAUUUCAACAUGGGCUACUUUCACAACACUGGGGUUGGGAAUAGGAUCAACAUUCUUUUUGGAUUCUAAGAUGUUAUAGGAAACUUUUGAGUGGAGUUGUUGCAUUUGGGUGGGGCAGGGGGACAACCAUGAUAUGUCUAAAACAGUAUUCUUACCUUGCCUGUGAGUGCCCGGAGAUUCACAUGUCAGGUAGACAUAGCAUCUAAGUGGAUGUACAGGUACCCAGGGAUGUGGAGUGAUUUUCUAGUUGGUAGCCAGGUUCACCCCUGCCUAUAAUAGAUUAAAAGAGCUGUGCCAUGAACUUCCCUAAUGACAGUCAGCUCAGAGGCUUCCCUCAAUUCAGCAUUCACUAGAGAGUUAUUGCUAGGUCACCAGCAUUGCCUUCUUAUUGUGUUUUGCUGUGUUGGUCAGAGUUGACGUCAUUGUAAGCUGCCCGCCCUCUCAUAUAGAUUUAUUGAUAUUGCCAGAACAACCAGUGGAGUGUUUACCAGUGAACAAAGACCCUCAACUAUAAUUACCCCCUGGUAAGCUAAGCUGACCUGAACCAAGGACCAGAAAUGAUCUCUAAUAUAGAAUCUGCUUUGGCAGAAUUGAAUUGACAGUGAAAAUAUUAGGGCUCUGGACACCUGCAGCAACAAUAAUAGCUGGCAUUUAUUGAGUGCUUACUAUGUCCUAGGUACUUGUAUAAACAGGUAGGUAUUAUCAUGUAUCCUCACCACAAUGCAGUGAGUUGGUAUUUAUUUUACCCAAUUUAUUGAUGAAGACAUUCAUGCAAAGAAAGAUGAAGUCACUUGCCAAGUUUACCCAGCUAGUGAAAUGGCAGCACCAUGAUUUCAAUACCUCUGGAGUCUGGUUCUAUCAUAGAACCAAAAGUUCAUGCAUGUUCUGCCUCCUUGCUGCUGUUGGCAAGAAAAGUAAGAAUGGUUUUCUACACUAGGAUUUUUUACUAAUACUUCAUUUUAACUGUAUGGAAAUAUGCCUGGGUUUAGAAGUUCUUCAACCAGUUUAGAGGCAGUGAUAGGUAGAUUACAGCAUUUACUCUUUGUGUGACCUUUGCAGUUUACUUGACUUCCCAAGCCUCCAUUUCCACAUCAAAAAGUGUGACUAAUUAUGUUUGCCCCACCCACAAGCCUGAGAUAUUGUAAAACGAAGACAGUAAAUAUUUUCAAAGUUGUACUUCAUUUAAAAUCUGUUUUCUAUUGAAUUUUCCUAUCUCAGGGUAGAAGAGUUUGAAAUAUUAGGCAGUAGUGGAGGUAAAAUAGCAUAGCCUUCAACUUAAAAGAAAGAUUAAUACAAGUUCAGGCUAGGGAAAGGAGGAAGGAAGCUGACCUCUGCACAUACCAAGGGGACCUAACAAAGUAGAAAGCAGACUGGCAGGUCAGGGUCAAAGGAACAAAGCGGAAAGGAAGGUUUGAGAGUAAGCCAGCUUUUUUCUCAUAGAUCGUAGUGGUUUGCCUUUACCUGACAGAAUAGUAUCCUUUGAAGGGAGAAGAAAUAGGGGUGGAUAUUAGGGUACAUCAUGCAUGAGGCUGUGAAAGAAUGCAACACUUCCAACACAGAGAACUCCAUCUACUUAGGAGCUCCCAUUCUAAGACAGUAGACACAGGUGAGGUUACUCCAUGAUGCCAGAAUUUUCCUACAUGAGAAAAUAGUCAUGGCAUUUGGCUGCUUUGGGAAAACACUAGAGUCACUCAGGAUCUCAGAGGAGUUGAGGAAUGGAAUUAGAAGAAUGGAUUAUAUUGAAAGUGUUUUGUCUCCAGAAAAUCAUAUUAUAUUGAAACAGUAUUCAUAAAACACCAUUUUAAGAUUAAGAGGCUUGAUAUUCAUUCUUUGACUCAUUGGGGGUAUUUGGUAUUCAAUAUUUUCAUUAUAAUUUCAAAACAAUAACAAAACAACAUUCCAUAAUGUUUGCCAGAAUUUUGUGCUUAUAAUAUGACAGGGGAUAUGCUUUCUAUAUUUUUAACUCUUACAACUGAAACUGUUAGGUUAGAACUAUAAGUAUUUCCAUUUUGUAGAUGAGAAAAUUGACCUUCUCAGGUUAGUAACUUGCUUCUAGUCCCAACCUUCUCAUAGGCUUUGUAGUCCAAAUAGGACCUCUUAUCAGGUGCCAUGGUGUACACCUAUAGUCCUAGUGACUUGGGAGUCUGAGACAGGAGGGUCUCAAUUUCCAGGCCAGCCACAGCAACAUAGUGAGAACUUGUCUCAAAGUAAAAAAUUAAAAAAGGACUGGAAAUGUAGCUAAAUUCUAAAGCCUCCCAGUACCAAAACCAAGAACAACAACAAAAAACAAACAAACUAACAAAGAGGCCCUCUCAUCAACCUCUAUUCCUCCAUCUUGUUUUCUUUCCCUUCACAACCAUUACUACUAAAUAUUUGAAAUUAACUAAUUUAUGUAUUUGUUCCUUUCUCGGUUAUCUUUUUACCAUGUCAGCAUGGAAAUUCUGUGAGAGCAGAGAUUUUAUUAAAUUCAUCUACGUAUGUUUUACACUCGGAGCAAUUGCAAACAUAUAGUAGGUGCCUGAAGAUGGAACUCAGUUCCACAUUUAAGUAGCUCCAAAACAUCUGAUCUUGUGACUACACCACAUGGCUGCUUUUUCUCCAUAUCUAUAUCUAUUUUUGUGUAUUUACAUAAUAUAUAGACAUACAUAUAUGUAUUUAAAAGGAUUAAAAAAAUAGAUACAGAUCUCUUUGUACACGUGCCAUCUCUUUUCUCAGUAAUGUCAGGAAAAUUAUCAGCUGGAGGCUCUUUUUCUUGACUUUAAUUGAACCUCAAAAACCAAGCCAAUGGGGCUGGGGAUGUGGCUGGGGCGGUGGUACGCUCGCCUGGCAUGCGUGUGGCCCGGGUUCGAUCCUCAGCACCACAUACAAACGAAGAUGUUGUGUCCGCCGAAAACUAAAAAAUAAAAAAAAUAAAAACCAAGCCAAAACAACAGUUUCCCCUAAGAAAAAUUACUCUAAGAAAAAAAAUAGGGGUAUAAUAAAUAAUAAGGUAAAGGAUUAAUUUUGAUCUAGGGCACUGGAAUUUGAACUUUUUGGGGAUUUUAUCUGUUAUUAUUAUUGUUCUUUGUGUGUGGGUGAGGGAGGGAUUUGUUUUUCAUUCUUAUCAGUAGGUGGCAGCAAUUUUCUUAGAGAUGAGCUUACCAGUUAAGAGAAUCUAAUCUAGCAAGUCUGGCCCAGAUGUUGAUAAUUUUUUUUUUAAGGCCUAAGUCCCUUAACUCACUUUUCCUGGACAAGGGUUAAUUUAGAAUUGAAAUAUAAACUGAGAAAUAUCAUCUGUUGAACAUAAUGGCUAUGUAGGAGAAUUUCUAACAAUUACAUCCAUCGACUUUGGUAACCAUUUUGAAGAGUCCAGUAUGACUUACAUGAUUGUAUCUUAAUCAUAUGCAGCAGAACUGUGGUAUAUUGAGCAUUCACAGUCUGCUUAUGUAACUUCCAUAUUCUACUUCCACCUUGUAAGAAUUGCUUAGCCACAUGAGUAUAAGCUGAAACAUUCUUCCUUGGUGGGUUUUUGUCCCCCUCUUUCUGUGGAGGGUGUUCAGAGUAUGCAGAGACAGAUAUGUAUAGGUCAAAGCAGACUGGGACUAGGUGUUGAGUCCCAUUCUGGGUUAUUCUGCAAUAUGGCCUUUGUGUGACUGGGUCCACUAGAGAUGGUUAAUGGUUAUUCAUAUUCACUGUUUGUCAGCCUUUUGAGAAGGUAGAACAUGUUUUGAUUACAUUUUCCUAUCUCUAGUACCCAGUAGGAGACUUGGGCUAUAAUAGGUACUCAAUAAAUAUAUGUUCCUUAGAUUUUUUAAAACACCUUUAUUUAAUUUAUUUUUUUAAUGUGGUGCUAACAAUUGAAUCCAGUGCUUCAGACAUUCUAGGUAACUGCUCUAACACUGAGUUACAACCCCAGCCCCUCGUUAGAUGUUUCAUGGUAUUGUUCUGAAGCUCAGUCAGUAAUGGGAGCCAUAUAGGAAUUUAUAAGUUCUAAUUAAGGGUUAUUUGCAGGACAUAGCUAAAGGAAUUGUCUCAGUGUACAAUCCUAUGUAUAAGUCUAUGCAAAGGUAAAAUUUUACUUGGUCAAUUUUGUUCUCAUUUGUUGAUUCCUGGGAACCUUAAAAGAUUCAUUGAUAUAUUCACAUUUCCAUUGUCACCAUCCUCUGAGUUCAACUUUAUGAUAGACUAUCAUGAUGUAAGUUAGAGAUACAGAUUCUCUCUGGAGAGCUGGGCUACAAGAUGUACAUACAAUCAUGAGCAAAGUACAAAUUAUCACAUAUUCCAGGUACUCGAGGAAAAAGAUUAACAAGAAAAAAUUAGGUAACCGUAAAAACCUUAGUGAAGAUGUUGUGCUAAAGGCCAUAAGUCGGUCUAGUUAUUUGAAAUCUUCUGGAUAAUUGAAACAUUUCAUUUUUAUUGGAGUGAUUUGUUUUUAAGAAACAUAGCAAUGUCAUGCCAGGUUCUAGAUGUUCACCUUUCUUAAACACAUUCAAUGCAUAAAUUAGCCCCAAAGGGACUAAAACCCCAAUGGUUUAUUUUUAAAAGGAAUUCUUUGCUGAAUCAGUUAUUUUUCAUGUGCUAAAAAUAGGUGAAAGGACUUAUGAAUAGAUUUGAAAUAGUGUGAUUUUUAGUUUUCAUAGUUAAUUUUAGCCUAAGCUGGUGAAAAUAAAGUAAAAGCUCCAAGAUCAAAACUGUGAGUUUGAUGAAAAGCAAUUGUUUGAUUAUUUAUACAAACUACUUAGAAAAGACUGAUGGUUCUGAAUGCAAUUGGAGCUCUAUUUUCAAGAUCAACAGUUAUUCCCAUUUAUUUAUCUUUAAAAAUUCCUAUAUAGUAUAGAAAUUUGCAAAUAGAAGAUACAAAGUAGGAUUAAUGUCAUUCAGUGAUUAAAAAUAUGAAUUCAGAUAAAGGGUACCAAAAUGAUAACAAAACCAGAUAAGCAUCAAUUUUCAGUGAAUAAAUCAUCUUCUUUGAAAGAAAAAAACCUAGUAAUUUUCAAAUAACAUUUUGUGGUGAUUAAUGUUGACCUUAUGUGCCCUCCGACUUUCCCACCAUUCUUACUCCAGGGUCUUAUACAAGAUACGUUGAUUUCUAUGUCAGUGAUUUCUUCUGAAUAGCUAAUUCACUCCUCAAUCCUACAAGAUUAACUACAUCUCCAACUGCUAUGGCCAAUUUCCAAAGUUUAUGGUCCAUUUCAUAAAGUCUUGUAAAUCAGCCCUUACUUCCUUUUAAUUAUGUGUCCCUGUAGAAUGCAUGUGCCAGCAUCGUUUCAAAUCUAUAUGUGAGGCCAAGAACCAGACAACCUUAUCAUAGUAUAAUUGUUUUAAAUCCUGUUAAGUUAUUUUCAGUAUUAAAAUGGCUGAGGUUAAGAAUAGUAAGUCUGGGGCUGGGGAUGUGGCUCAAGCGGUAGCGUGCUUGCCUGGCAUGCACGGGGUGUUGGGUUCGAUCCUCAGCAUCACAUAAAAAUAAAAUAAAGAUGUUGUAUCCACUGAAAACUAAAAAAUAAACAUUAAAAAAUUCUCUCUCUCUCUCUAAAAAAAAGAAUAAUAAGUCUGACAAGUGCAGUCCUUUUCAUUCAAGUUCUGACACGAGAUGCAUUUAUUUUAAAAAGACUUCUCUGACCAACCACCUCUCCAAACACGCCCACACCUUCCUCAUGCUCACAGUUCCCCAUGUUGCUGAAUAUAAUCCUAUUUCUAUUUCUUGGCAUUUAUGUAGUGUUCUAAUAUCAUUUAUAUGUUUUAUACACUUGUAUUCUGCAUUACAGUUCAGUGCUCAAUAGCUCAAGCUCUAGAGGCUAACUGUCAGGGUCUGGUACUAGUUCUGCAGUAUAUUAGUGAUGUGAUUUGGGACAAUUUACUUAACCUUUUCAUGUCUCAGUUUCCUUAUCUGCAAAGUAGAGAUAGUAAUAGCACUUUCCUAAUAGGAUUAUAAGGAUUAAAAAAAGUUGAAAUAUGUGAAGCAUUUAACCUAUGCUUGGCCCAUAAUGUUAUAUAAAUGCCAGCUACUUUUUAAAAAUUUUGUUUUGGAAUAUUAUGAUCUCUGAAUUAUUUUCAUUUUUUAUUAUGGUACUGGGGAUUGAAUCUAGGAGCACUUUAACACUGACUUUUUAUUUAUCCAGUACCAAGUAAAUUUUCCUUACAAAGAAAAAGAUGUCAUUUUCCACUUUAUCAUUUUGUCCUAAUGGAUAUAAAAUAUUUAGAUGUAAUUAUUUUAACAACUUUUGAAUAUCCUGUGGUUUUUUAAAUUUGUUAUUUUUAGUUAUAGUAGAGUGUAUUUGAUAAAUUUAUUCAGACAUGGAUUAUAUUUUAUUCUAAUUAUGUCCCAGUCUUGUAUAUGUACAUUAUGUGGAGAUUCACUGUGGCAUAUUCAUAUGUAUGCAUAGGAAAGUUCUGUCAGAUUUAUUCCACUGUCUUUCCUAUUCCUAUUCCCCUUCUCUUCCCUUCCUUCCUCUUUGUCUAAUCCUCUGAAUUUCUGUCCUCCACCCACCUUGUUGUAUGUUGGCAUUAGCACAUCAGAGAGAACAUUCGACCUUUGGUUGUUUGGGAUUGGCUUAUUUCACUUAGCAUGAUAGUCUCCAGAUCCAUCCAUUUACCAGCAAAUGUUAUAAAGUCAUUCUUUAAGGCUGAGUAAUAUUGUAACACUGAUUUUUAAAUGUUUUGUUUUGAGACAGAGUCUUGCUAAUAAGUUGCUUAGAGCCAGCCUUUCUUGUCACUGGGAUUAUAGGCAUGUACCACUGUGCCCGGCUGAUCUCUUGAGUUAUUUUUCAGGAUGGUUGAAAACAAGAAGCAUGUUUUUAUUAUUCAUAUACCCCCUCUAAAUCCAUAGUGUCAUCCAUGUGGAAGGCAAUGUAGUGUCUCCUAAAAUAAUGAACACAUACAUAGUUAUGAUUCCCAAUGUUUGUAUAUUUUAUGACUUUAAUAUACUUAAUAGGUUCAGAAAAAUAAUCAUUAUCAUGAAUGAAUUCAAGCAAAUGUCUAUAUCAAUGGAGGCAAUGGAUGACUAGGAAUUACCCACAUCCACCUUGGUAUGAUAUGGACAUGAAGAGGGUUUUAAGAAGUCUUCCUGGAAAAGAUUAGUUUUAGAAUUUAUAGAGGCUUAAGUAUUGAGAAGGAAUGAUGGCAUCUGGAGAGAAAAAGUAUUUUGACAGAGGUAGAUAUGAUAUGCUAGCUAUAUUCUGAUACAAAGAAAAGAUAAGCCUUAAUUUAUGUUGCCCCAGUGCACAAAGCUAAAACCAGUAGAUGAAAAUCAUGGGAUGUAAUACUUGAACUAAACAUGAAGAAAUAAUUUCUAUCGGGCUGGGGCUAUGGCUCAGUGGUAGCAUACUUGCCUGGCAUGUGUGAGGCACUGGGUUUGAUUCUCAGCACCACGUAUAAAUAAAUAAAGGCAUAUAUAUAUAUAUAUAUGAAUGAAACUUUCUAAUGACCUGGGCUGCCAACAAUUUAAUUGGAGUGGCCAUGUAAUAUGGUUUGGCUGGGUUCAUAGGAAGCUGCCUUCCUUUUGUACUGAAUAGAUGCAAAAAUGUGAUAUCUGUGGUGGGGAGCUUUCAGUUGCUUUCAUAGCCAAUAUAUUUGCAAAAUUAGCAACACAGUCACACUAGAAGAGGUAAGGAGAGUGUUCAUAUAAUCAUACUUUUCCAUGUAACAUGCUAUGAGAGCUCAAAGGGAGAGAAUGAUAUUUUCCCUGGGCCUACAUCAUUCAGAAAUUGGUGGAUGUUAAAACACCUAGGUUGGUGGUCACGUAAUUUAGAUUUCAGAAAUUAAUUAAAAUUUCCUCAUCCUCCUUGUAUAGAGAGACUGAUAUUGGAUUGCCAACAUUUUGGCUUGCCAAUAAACACAUUAAAAUAACAAAAAGAACUCACCUAUCAUUGGCUCAUGUUAUUUUAUGAAUGAAUCAAUAUUAAAAAAGGAAAUGGAAUAUAAUCUCACAGUAAAAAUAUUGAAUUAUUUUAGGGCUAUGAAAAACACAUUGUCCAUGUUCUUCUCAUUUCACCUUGAUCAAUUAAAAUCCUUAGUAUGAAUUGGCACAGAUUCACAAAUAAGCACAUGGGAACAACUAUUUUGGCUUUAGUGAUAUUCUCUGAUGGUUCCAUGUGAGAAUCCUAUCCUCCAUCCCUUCCAGGCUCCUCCUAAGCCUCUUAUUACAGGAUUGGUAUUUUAAGCAUUAAUUCCCUAAAGUAACAUGUUAUCCCAUAGAUCCCAUAGAACUCAAAGUGUAAAAAAAAAUCUCCACUGGUAGAAAGGUCUCAACCUGAUUUAGUCUUCACUGAGGUUUGAAAUCAUGUGUAGGAAUCCUAUGAAUGCUUACCACUUAGCCUGUUCAGGAGCGUCUUUCAAAUACUCUAAAGGCCCAUCGAAUAGUAUGGUGGAAUGUUCCUAUUUCAAAUGCUGAAAGAGUAGGAAUUAUAGAAGCUAUUGCUAAAAUAAUUUAAUCCACCAAGAAUAGGGACUUAAGGUCUUUGAUGUCACCUAAAAGCUCUUUGAACCUGUUUGGCAUAAUAGAUGAUGUAAAAUCCCAUUUUUCUCUAAUGGAUAAUGUAUUGAAGAAGCUCCUGGGUGAAAAUAUUCUAAAUAUCUACCCUGACAAGAGAAGGAUUCCUAUCAUUUUUCAACCUUUAAUUCCAUUUCAGAAAUGCUGACAUAAAAUUGCUUGCUACUGAGCUGGAAUAUGUCUACAUGUGAAAUCACUUUUUUGAAGCAUAUUAUCUGCUAAUGGAAUCAUAGAGCAUUUUCUGGAGAGGAAAAGAAAAGACUAAUCUUUGUGCUGCACAGCAUAGACAUUAGAUAACCAUUUGGAUUAAUGGUUUCUAUAUCGUAUUAUUUAACUUUUAAAUGCUCAGUUCUUAUUAAGAAGUCACAUUAUUCAGUAGCUCCUAUGAUGUGUUGACAUCUCAGUUUUGAGUAGAUGUAAUAUGGGGAUUUAUAGCCUCGCAAAAAUCCCUUCUCUAGUAGGAUUCCAAAUAGAGAUUUCCCCAAAAUUUUAUCCACAUGUUCUGAAUUGCUAAAAUCUAGCAAAUAUAUUCGGAAUAUUACAAAGCUGAUCAAUUCCUGCUGAGAUCUUUGUUUAUUGUACUGACAAUAUAUUUCUAGCAAACCAAUUCAACUUUGUAAGGAACAAAUUCCAUUUAUGACCUAUAAUUUGAGAAUACUCAUGAAGUGUCUCCAUCCAAUCACUUCUCUUCUUCUCAACCCUGCUACCACCACCACCACCACCUUAUUCUGGGCUGUCAAUUGCACUAUUGCAAGUGUCACUUAACUAGUCACUCACAUUCCAUUAUUGUCUCCACACAACAAUACUAUUCAUAGAGAUGUUAAAACUUAAACAGAUUCAGUCACUUCCUUGAAUAAUUUUUUUCUUAAAUGGCUUCCCAUGCACAUAAAAUAAAAUAUAAGCUCCUAACUAUUGCCUGCAAGAUCUUUCAUGAUCUGGCCCCUGCCUAUAUAAACACUAAGUGACUACCACAUGUGAGGUGAAUAAAACAUGCAAAUUCUUAGCCUGAUAGAAUUAUUGGUGUAGUUGAAAGAGAGGCAGUCAAUAAGCAAGCCAGAAUAUAUAGUAGGUCACAGAGUGAGUAGUAUGGAGAAAAAUAAGGCAAGAAAGAGGAAUGGGGAAACGGUUAGAGGGUCUUGGCAGGGAAGAGAUGGAACACACAGAUUGGAUAAUUUGUGGAAUAUUACUUAAAGAGUUUGUUUAUAGGAUGUGGGCAGACUAUAUGUAAACUAUAAAGUAUAGUUGUAUAGUGGGAUUUAGUUACCUCUUUUAGGAUUUGAAGGGUGAAGAGGAGGGAGAAGUCACAAGAAAUAGGAAAGAUUAAAGAAUGUAUAGAAAACCCUUCUGAUACACACUGGUCUUAGACUAAGGGACUUAGCCAGCCUUAGAUGGCUAAGGAAGGGAGCUGGGUGAAUAAACACAGUGACUCUCCUCUCAUAUCUCCUCUUGUUCUUUCCAGCUGUCCAAAACAACCUGAAGCCUUGAUAAGGGAACCCAGAGAUAUAGACCAACUGGUUAUUUCUGGAAGAGAGAGCAAAAAACAAGAUAAGAAGCCUGGAGCAACUGGAGGGCAAAACAAACAUGUACAAAACAAUGUUGUGAUUUUGAAUGGGGUGGUCCUCAUCAAUAUCAUCUCAUAUCAAUAUUCCUCUUUCUCUUUUGUUUAUCUGCACUGGCUUUCUUUCACAAUCUGGAGUUUGUAGUGUUUCCCUCUCCCUGUCUGGGCUCAGUGUCUUUGCAUGUGCUGAUACCCUUUAUCAAGAAGCUUCUGCCUUCUUUCCCCUGAACCAUUGCUUAACCUACUAGUAUUCCACCAAUGAACAUUUUCCCUAAGUUCUCAGAUUACUCAGACAGCACUGCUCUGUGGUCCCUAUUCUGUACUUCUCUUAUAUCAUACUUUCUAUAGUGUGUCCUUCUAUAUUACUUUGAUUAUUCUAAUAUUUAUAUUACAUAUUCCAUUUAAAGGGACACAAGGAUGGAGAAUAUGUCUAUGUUCUCUUUCACUACAUUCACAGUAUCUAGAACACAGUAUACACAGAAUAAAUAUUUCAUAAUUGAAUGAAGAUGGUAAAUACGAAAAAGUCAUAAUAAUAGAUCCCUUAUCCUAAACUUAUCACUUCAUAUCUUUUGUCUUUCCCCUAACUGUGGGUCUUUGUUACCAGCAUUCUAAAUACAGUAUGAAAACUCUUCAGACUUAUCCAGUACGUACUAUUUUUUAAUCUCUUUUUUUUUCUGGACUCAAAUUGAGGGUUAUUCAAUGUCUCAGUUUAACAACUAGAACCAAUAGCUUAAGAUUUGUAAACCAUAGUGAAUCCUAU
rnacentral:lncRNA from 1 species